GCAUCUUUUUGGGGGUAUUUCUUUUCCAUAAACUGUGAAAUAUGGUAUCUCAAAUUUUGCGCGUAACUCAAAGCGAAAUAUUACUCGCUCAACUGCUCGUAUUUAAAAAAUCUGGUAUGUCGAGGCACUAGAAUGUUGAGGUUCACCCAAAAAAAAGGGAAGAUCUGAUUUUUACCAGUAAUAAGACUACAGCAUACUAAAUGACACAAGAUGUUCUUUCUCUAUUACCUCUUACAUUUGACAUAAAAGCAGGAAAAGGUUUAACAGUCUAUGCCUACAACAUAGAUCUCCAGGACUAAAAGUGAAAAAAAUUGCAAUCAGUAUAUCACAAGUAUUAUAACACACGCAUCUAAUCUGCUUCAGUGGCAAGAACUGGGUGAAUCCUCUCAAACAUUAAUCAGGAACUAGGCAUACCUAAUGAGCGUCAAGCUGAUACAGUAGAUGUACAGAAGAAUUUAUACACAAGGAAGUGAAAAGUGAUGUAAAAGGCAACUAAUACUUCCAUCUACCAUAAUUAAACAAGAAUCUGCAAAUGGUGAUAAUUGCAAUAAUCUUGAUAUAUUAAUGUUU